rnacentral:rRNA from 1 species
CUUGACCCCAAUCAGGUCGGACUACCACUGAA